GCAUGUCUAAGUAUAAGCAAUUUAUACGGUGAAACUGCGAAUGGCUCAUUAAAUCAGUUAUCGUUUAUUUGAUAGUACCUUACUACAUGGAUACCUGUGGUAAUUCUAGAGCUAAUACAUGCUAAAAACCUCGACUUCGGAAGGGGUGUAUUUAUUAGAUAAAAAACCAAUGCCCUUCGGGGCUCCUUGGUGAAUCAUAAUAACUUAACGAAUCGCAUGGCCUUGCGCCGGCGAUGGUUCAUUCAAAUUUCUGCCCUAUCAACUUUCGAUGGUAGGAUAGUGGCCUACCAUGGUGGCAACGGGUAACGGGGAAUUAGGGUUCGAUUCCGGAGAGGGAGCCUGAGAAACGGCUACCACAUCCAAGGAAGGCAGCAGGCGCGCAAAUUACCCAAUCCCGACACGGGGAGGUAGUGACAAUAAAUACUGAUACGGGGCUCUUUUGGGUCUCGUAAUUGGAAUGAGUACAAUCUAAAUCCCUUAACGAGGAACAAUUGGAGGGCAAGUCUGGUGCCAGCAGCCGCGGUAAUUCCAGCUCCAAUAGCGUAUAUUAAAGUUGUUGCAGUUAAAAAGCUCGUAGUUGAACCUUGGGUCUGGCUGGCCGGUCCGCCUCACCGCGAGUACUGGUCCGGCUGGACCUUUCCUUCUGGGGAACCUCAUGGCCUUCACUGGCUGUGGGGGGAACCAGGACUUUUACUGUGAAAAAAUUAGAGUGUUCAAAGCAGGCCUUUGCUCGAAUACAUUAGCAUGGAAUAAUAGAAUAGGACGUGCGGUUCUAUUUUGUUGGUUUCUAGGACCGCCGUAAUGAUUAAUAGGGAUAGUCGGGGGCGUCAGUAUUCAGCUGUCAGAGGUGAAAUUCUUGGAUUUGCUGAAGACUAACUACUGCGAAAGCAUUCGCCAAGGAUGUUUUCAUUAAUCAGGGAACGAAAGUUAGGGGAUCGAAGACGAUCAGAUACCGUCGUAGUCUNNNCCAUAAACUAUGCCGACUAGGGAUCGGGCGGUGUUUCUAUGAUGACCCGCUCGGCACCUUACGAGAAAUCAAAGUUUUUGGNNNNUGGGGG
rnacentral:rRNA from 1 species